CUCCCUCCACAAGGGUUGGGCCACCGGCUUCAGGUGUUACCGACUUUCAUGACUUGACGGGCGGUGUGUACAAGACCCGGGAACGUAUUCACCGCAGCGUUGCUGAUCUGCGAUUACUAGCGACUCCGACUUCAUGAGGUCGAGUUGCAGACCUCAAUCCGAACUGGGACCGGCUUUUUGGGAUUCGCUCCACCUCACGGUAUUGCAGCCCUUUGUACCGGCCAUUGUAGCAUGCGUGAAGCCCAAGACAUAAGGGGCAUGAUGAUUUGACGUCAUCCCCACCUUCCUCCGAGUUGACCCCGGCAGUAUCCCAUGAGUUCCCACCAUUACGUGCUGGCAACAUAGAACGAGGGUUGCGCUCGUUGCGGGACUUAACCCAACAUCUCACGACACGAGCUGACGACAACCAUGCACCACCUGUUCACCAGUGUCCAAAGAGUCCCGUAUUUCUACGGUGUUCUGGUGUAUGUCAAGCCUUGGUAAGGUUCUUCGCGUUGCAUCGAAUUAAUCCGCAUGCUCCGCCGCUUGUGCGGGUCCCCGUCAAUUCCUUUGAGUUUUAGCCUUGCGGCCGUACUCCCCAGGCGGGGAACUUAAUGCGUUAGCUGCGUCACGGAAACCGUGGAAUGGUCCCCACAACUAGUUCCCAACGUUUACGGGGUGGACUACCAGGGUAUCUAAGCCUGUUUGCUCCCCACCCUUUCGCUCCUCAGCGUCAGUUACGGCCCAGAGAUCUGCCUUCGCCAUCGGUGUUCCUCCUGAUAUCUGCGCAUUCCACCGCUACACCAGGAAUUCCAAUCUCCCCUACCGCACUCUAGUCUGCCCGUACCCACUGCAGGCCCGAGGUUGAGCCUCGGGAUUUCACAGCAGACGCGACAAACCGCCUACGAGCUCUUUACGCCCAAUAAUUCCGGAUAACGCUUGCGCCCUACGUAUUACCGCGGCUGCUGGCACGUAGUUAGCCGGCGCUUUUUCUGCAGGUACCGUCACUCUCGCUUCUUCCCUGCUAAAAGAGGUUUACAACCCGAAGGCCGUCAUCCCUCACGCGGCGUUGCUGCAUCAGGCUUCCGCCCAUUGUGCAAUAUUCCCCACUGCUGCCUCCCGUAGGAGUCUGGGCCGUGUCUCAGUCCCAGUGUGGCCGGUCACCCUCUCAGGCCGGCUACCCGUCGACGCCUUGGUGAGCCAUUACCUCACCAACAAGCUGAUAGGCCGCGAGCCCAUCCCAGACCGAAAAAUCUUUCCAACCCCCACCAUGCGAUGAGAGCUCAUAUCCAGUAUUAGACGCCGUUUCCAGCGCUUAUCCCAGAGUCCAGGGCAGGUUGCUCACGUGUUACUCACCCGUUCGCCACUGAUCCACCAAGCAAGCUUGGCUUCACCG
rnacentral:rRNA from 1 species